UGCCUACAAUGCAGUCGCACGAACGCUGCGUACUGUAUGGGGGUUGGGUCGAGUAUUACAUUUGAAUCUAUGCGUGGGUGGGGAAUAACUCUGGGAAAAUGUGCCUAGAAGCGCAUGAUAACUGCUGGUCACAGGUGCAAAUCCCCUGCAGAACUUCUGCGUUUGAUUACCAUGUUGAUGGAUGGCUUCGGCUAUCACUUUUGGAUGGUCCCGCGGCGUAUUAGCUAGAUGGUGGGGUAACGGCUCACCAUGGCAAUGAUACGUAUCCGACCUGAAAGGGUAAUCGGCCACAUUGGGACUGAGACACGGCCCAAACUCCUACGGGAGGCAGCAGUAAGGAAUCUUCCACAAUGGACGAAAGUCUGAUGGAGCAACGCCGCGUGAGUGAAGAAGGGUUUCGGCUCGUAAAACUCUGUUGUUAAAGAAGAACAUAUCUGAGAGUAACUGUUCAGGUAUUGACGGUAUUUAACCAGAAAGCCACGGCCUAACUACGUGCCAGCAGCCGCGGUAAUACGUAUGUGGCAAGCGUUGUCCGGAUUUAUUGGCCGUCAAACUAGCCCAAGCGCUUUUUUAUCUCUGAUGU
rnacentral:rRNA from 2 species